rnacentral:lncRNA from 1 species
CCGCGCCGGGGCUCGCAGCAUCCACCAUGGCCUUCCGUAGCGCGGGCACUUUAAUGACCGAAUUCAAUGCCACCUUUGUGCCACCAGCCCUCAUGCCCGGGGAAAACGUGAGGAGAGGAGGAGACACUGAAGAUGGCAGGGAGGAAGCCAACUGUGUACAUCAUCCCUGCUGAAGACACACUGUCUGCUCAUCUGAGAGAAACAGUGGAGACAGAAGGUGGACUACAGGUCAAGGAGGAGUAAGCCACGGUACAGAGGAGGAGCCUGUCUUCUGAGAGAGACCAAAGUGGCCACCCAUGCUCCCAGAAGAGGCCAACAAAGACUCCUGAGCUCUCAAUCUCUACAUCAGAGGGGACAUGGCGGUCAGCGGGAAGUCCAGGAGAACCCAGAAGAAAGAGCUCUGAAGCGGAUGGAGAAGUAUCAAGAUCCCAUGAAGUUAAAGGACAGAGUGAAGGAGCUAGGGAGAGACCUGUGAGGCCAGUGAUGGGGUCUCGUGGCCUGGCCUCCUCUGUGGCUACUUUACUUCCUGCUCUGACCCAGGCGGCAUUCUUGCUAUCAGAUCCCAAGCCCACUGGCGGGAGGGACGAGACCAGGAGCCAGAGGGACGAGACUGAUAUUUUCACCACAAUGGAAAUCAACCAGUAGCUCUGUCUGUUACUCAACAAGGUUUUCUUGCCUUUUCCCCCCUGAAGCCACAGAGAAGGAAAUAAUUUAUUACUACCUAAUUCUAGGCCUGUGCCUGUUGGUAAGG